rnacentral:lncRNA from 1 species
CUUAAUAAUAUGUUACAUGCAUACAUGCUAAUCAUCAUGCCUGAGUAUAAUUGGAAUACUGUGUGCGGCUUUCUAAUGAUGUCGUCUUUGGAGCUAUUUAGAAAGCUUGAAGUAAUGUUAAAGGUUAGUUAGAUGAUAAGGAUUGCAUAUAUUUUUUAGUUUUUAUGAAUAUUUAACUGUUGUUAAACUUUUUGAAUGAGUAGAAUUGUGAUAGAAAAGUCUCGUGAUUGUUAUUUUGUUUUCUAAAGUUUUCAUUAGCAAUACACCAAUACAUUGCUUUCUUAUAUUGUUUGAACUGCUUCUGUAUAUGAAUUAUUUAACUUCAUAUUAAGCUAGUAAAGCUGAAAACUCCAUAAAAAACAAAGUUAAGCUGGAUUUUGAGAUUCUGGAAAAAAGGGAAGAUAAAAAUAACAUAUAGUUGAUUCAAAACAACAUUGUUUCUUAUCUGGAAAAUGAUUUCAGUAACCACAAUACUUUCCAAAUUCCCUUUAGAAACCAGUUUUUUCCUUUUAAACAUAUAAAAGAAAUGAUUAUUAUAGGAUUGCAUAUUUCAGAAAGUUUUCAAUCCUUACAGAUUAUUAGUAUAGAUUGUUACCUCUUGCAUAUCAUAUCGCUUGCAAAGCAAAUUGUUAUAGGUUUUGAAAAACAUCCUUGAACACCACAUUCAUUGUUGCCUUAUGUGGUUUUCCUUAUUUGUCCACUAUGAGGAUCUUCAAUCCUUUCUUAGAAUUUACCCUAAAGAUUGCAACAUAGAGUUGGCCAUGUGAUUAUUCUAAGUACUAAAUAAAAUUAAGAUCUAUUGAAAAUGGAAUAUUACUCACAGAUGGUCAUUUCCAUUGUUUCACCAGUGAAUUGCAUGCGUGUAUUGUGUCCAAGAAUGGAGAAUCUUCACUUGGAUUUUCCAAUUCGUCUUGAAAGGUUUGAUGUCAGCAGGGUUGACGAUCACAAGAUUUUCAGCCUUUUUUUCAAAGGAGUAGCAAGCGAAGAAUGAUUGCAUGAAAGGUUAGUGUGUAUCUAAACUUAACAUUAAACAUCUAUUUAUAUGAAAAAGGUCGGCAAAAUUCUUUUAAGGUUUAGAGAAUGAAUACAUCAACAACCGUAUAUUAGCAAAUAAGAAUUUUAGAGGUAUAUGCUGAUUUGUUAGUAUUUCAAAAUCUAGUUUUUAUUAGAUUUUGGAAAUAGAAUAAUUUUGAUCGUAUUUAAUGGGAUUAUGAUUUAUUUAGUUAUCGAUAUUGAAUGGAUUUGUUUGUUAUAGAAAUCAAUUUAAAUGAUAACUAACAAAUUUGGUUUUGGGAUUAAUUCCUGAAG